rnacentral:rRNA from 1 species
GAAAUGGCUGUUAAUACCGCAUAAGCCUACAGCCUCGCAUGAGGGAGCAGGAGAAGAAAUUCGGUGCAGGAUGAGUCCGCGUCUGAUUAGCUAGUUGGAGGGGUAAAAGCCCACCAAGGCAACGAUCAGUAGCCGGCCUGAGAGGGCGACCGGCCACAUUGGGACUGAGACACGGCCCAAACUCCUACGGGAGGCAGCAGUGGGGAAUAUUGCACAAUGGGGGAAACCCUGAUGCAGCGACGCCGCGUGAGCGAGGAAGUAUUUCGGUAUGUAAAGCUCUAUCAGCAGGGACGAAAAAAGACGGUACCUGACUAAGAAGCCCCGGCUAACUACGUGCCAGCAGCCGCGGUAAUACGUAGGGGGCAAGCGUUAUCCGGAUUUACUGGGUGUAAAGGGAGCGUAGACGGCAAGGCAAGCCAGAAGUGAAAGGGCAGGGCUCAACCCUGUACAUGCUUUUGGAACUGUGGUGCUAGAGUGCAGGAGAGGUAAGUGGAAUUCCUAGUGUAGCGGUGGAAUGCGUAGAUAUUAGGAGGAACACCAGUGGCGAAGGCGGCUUACUGGACUGUAACUGACGUUGAGGCUCGAAAGCGUGGGGAGCAAACAGGAUUAGAUACCCUGGUAGUCC